ACUUCGACGGCAAGUUACUUUCCUCAUCUGAAAGAUAGGGACCAGUUCUCAUGGAGUGAGGCUAAGAACCAAAGCAAGUGCGUAGCGCAGGGUCUGGGGCCUAGUAAGUGUCUUAAUGUGAUGAGGCCCUGACACCCUCUUCUUCCACGUUUCUCUGUCCUCCAUUACAGGUUGCUCUUGACCAAGAUUCUGGAAAGGCGGCAGAUUCGGUAGAGCCACCACCACCAAAAGAUCUCAGGAAAAUCAGUUGCCUAACAAGUGUUGACAGUUGAUUUGCAUCAACCACUAACCCCUGGAAAUUCAACCCUCUAUUGAUUUCCCAUGACUUAAGUAUAAAGCAAGUAAAUCAUCUUAUAGCCACUUUAACAGAAAAAGUUAUUUAAUUAAGGCAGAGAAGUGAUAUGACUCACAAAGAAUUCUAACAAAGUUACACCGACUCAGGCAACAUGAGCUGAAAUGAAUCACCGCUUAAAGAGCUAUCUCUUCGUGGCAAGAGCAACCAGCUGGAAGAUAGGUACCUUGGGGUAGAAGCUUGUUGCUUCAAUCAAGAAUUUCCAGUUUUUUAAGAAGCUCGUUAGUGUCAUCUGAGGCAUAUAUGAGGGAUUGAGUUAGAGAACAAAUAUGGGAAGGAACCAAGCUGAGAGUAUCUGAGGGUAAAAAAGAAAUGGAAGAAUUCUUGAGGGUGUGAAACAAAGAGAAGUCUUGGGGGGGGGCACAAGGUACGCUGCCCCCAACAGAUGCUGACCUUGUAGGAGCCACCAAACACUGCGACAGAGCUGAGACUUGAACCAGCCCCAGCACCCAAAUCUGUGAUGACCAUUUUGCCACAUCACCUUUGGGCACCAGUGAGAAGAAUAUACUGCUUCCCAGAAUAUAGCAGCCUAUGCCUGAGCAAUCCAAGCAAUGAGACCAUGCCCAGGUGUGCAGAAUUCACAACCAAAGGAAAUGCAACCUCAUCAGGGAAGCCACACAUCAUGGAAUAGAAAGAAGAAUCCAAGGAAAAGCCGCUGGCUGCAGAUUAAAAGGCGUCCGAAAACAGAAAAAACAAAAACACACCUUUUCUGAAAGACUUCUGGCGCUCUAAUCUGAGAAUGGUCAAGAGAGAGUUUUAACAAAGCGACAUAGCGCGGUAAACUGUAUGUGUAAGUUUUCUUCCCUUUUAUUGAACAUUCUUACUCCGUGAUUAUACAAUAGCUCUUUAAAAACAGACAACAUAAACUGUGACAGAUUUGUCCCCAUCUUGCAAAUAUCACCCCUUCAGGGGCCUUUGGAGCAUCUGGGAAAGUAAAUCUGCCAAUCCACCAGCAGAUGUCUCUGUUUUUCCUAAAUGAAUGGCACUCCCUCUGUUCUCAGCCGCUAAAUUUCUGAUCCAAUUAAAGAAAACCCUUUCUUAACUUGUCCCCAGAGAUCCCAACACACUUUUGUCUAAAAGUAAAGAACUUCCUUUCUCCUUAAUUUUUAAAUAAAAAAUACGAGUUAGUGUCUAUCUCCUUUAAAAAAUCAGCAUUCAAGUCUCAUGUACCAUUUCUAGUCAAUCUUAUACAUUCUUAUACUAAAGAAGAUGCUCCCCUCCGCUUGAGUCGUUACCAUCCAUCCUACUUAGUGGCAGACUGUGCUACAACUGACAGAAGCAGCUUAAGGAAAGUAGAUUUAUCCCAAGGAUAAAAGUUUAAAUUCUGCGUACUGGAAGCAAAAGUUUCUGAAGGCACCACCUAUUGUUAAUAAUUAAAUAAGCCCAGCUUGGGCAGAUGGAACACCUUCUUCUGAAAGUCCCUGUACUAGAAGAGAUACUGAAAAAGAAUUUAAUCUCAUGAUGGAAGCAAUUUGUCAUUUCGGAUAUUCCCAAAGCUCAGUUCAUUAAGAGGUUCUAUUACUCCCAUCCUGGGAUG